rnacentral:rRNA from 1 species
AGCUGGCACAUGCAGUCGAACGAUGAAGCCCAGCUUGCUGGGCGGAUUAGUGGCGAACGGGUGAGUAACACGUGAGUAACCUGCCCUUGACUCUGGGAUAAGCCCGGGAAACUGGGUCUAAUACCGGAUAGGAGCGCCUGUCGCAUGACGGGUGCUGGAAAGAUCUUUCGGUCAUGGAUGGACUCGCGGCCUAUCAGCUUGUUGGUGAGGUAACGGCUCACCAAGGCGACGACGGGUAGCCGGCCUGAGAGGGUGACCGGCCACACUGGGACUGAGACACGGCCCAGACUCCUACGGGAGGCAGCAGUGGGGAAUAUUGCACAAUGGGCGAAAGCCUGAUGCAGCGACGCCGCGUGAGGGAUGACGGCCUUCGGGUUGUAAACCUCUUUCAGCAGGGAAGAAGCGAAAGUGACGGUACCUGCAGAAGAAGCACCGGCUAACUACGUGCCAGCAGCCGCGGUAAU